UAAAAUGGCUCUACAUAGGUAUUUUUAUCUAAUUAAUACUUUCUCUGUGGACUGUGAAUAAUGUGAUUAGAAUUUUGAAAUUAGAUCUAAGAUCAGAUGAUGAUUCCGAAUUUCGCCAAAGGUCGAAAGUAGAAAGUUUACUUUCUCUGUGAUUAGAAUUAUGAAAUUAGAUCUAAGAUCAGAUGUGAGAUGAUUCCGAAUUUCGCAGUAGAAAAGUCCAAGACUAAAAUAUUAUCUCUAUGACUAAUCUAUAAUAUAAAAAUGAAUCGCAAAAUGUGUUGGUAGACUGCUAGUACCUAAUAUUUAUCUACAUAAUAAUAAAAGACCUAGUUCAUAAUUAUUUACACGUCUUGACUUAAAAUAUUUAUCUUAUAAAUAUGGCGCUUAAACAACACAUGAGAGUUAUUUCUACAGAGUUAAUUAAUUUUAAAGAAAAACACAAGGUAAUAGAAGGAAGAAAAAUUAAUGAUUGGAUUAAAGUGGGGGAAAAAGUAUUUGCAUCUUUUUAUAAUCUUGGAGUACAGCAGAGAUGGAACUUCUUUGAUAUUCAAUAUGAAGAGGAGACGGCUGCUAUUAUUUCAUUGGUGACUCAAAACAAAGAUUGGCUGGAAAGCUUUAUAAGCAUGUAUCCCAAUCUGCGAAUGAACCUAGACUUGGUCUGCUCAGCUGCAGACAUCUGCACAACUCGCUCAGGGAUAGAGGUAUUGCUGCGAGGUUUUGUUAACAUUGACCCCCAAUUCAACAAUAUCUUAGCUGACUUAGAAAGUAUGUCAGAGGUGGAUGAAUUUGACAGAGUUUUGAAAAUAUGGAUUGAUACUGGUCAUCGUCCUGACAAUUUUUAUGUUGAUUCUACCAUACCACAUACCCACUGGUGGUGGUUCUGAUAAAAAUUAUAAGGCAUUUCAAUGCUGUGAUAGUUAUUAGUAACUUUGUGUAUCUCAUAUUGCAAUUGCCAAUUGUUUUACAACAUGUAUACAGUAUGUUCAAUGAUUGAGAUUUAUUUUGAUUAGAAAUUUUUAAUCCUA